GUUGGCUAAAAAUCAUCCCUGGCUUUGACUGUAGCUGUGGCCUGUGGGUGAGAUUGAGCAUUCAGAACCACCAGUGGCCUACGCUGGCCGCCCACCACUUGGUGUGCAGGCAGUGAAACCCAGACCCCAGUGCAG